UACGAAGGGGGGCUAGCGUUGCUCGGAAUCACUGGGCGUAAAGCGCACGUAGGCGGAUUGCUAAGUCAGGGGUGAAAUCCUGGAGCUCAACUCCAGAACUGCCCUUGAUACUGGCGGUCUCGAGUCCGGGAGAGGUGAGUGGAACUGCGAGUGUAGAGGUGAAAUUCGUAGAUAUUCGCAAGAACACCAGUGGCGAAGGCGGCUCACUGGCCCGGUACUGACGCUCAGGCACGAAAGCGUGGGGAGCAAAAGGG
rnacentral:rRNA from 1 species